UGGGGAAUAUUGCACAAUGGGCGAAAGCCUGAUGCAGCAACGCCGCGUGAGUGAUGAAGGCCUUCGGGUUGUAAAGCUCUGUCUUUUGGGACGAUAAUGACGGUACCAAAGGAGGAAGCCACGGCUAACUACGUGCCAGCAGCCGCGGUAAUACGUAGGUGGCAAGCGUUGUCCGGAUUUACUGGGCGUAAAGGAUGCGUAGGCGGAUUUUUAAGUGAGAUGUGAAAACCCUAAGCUUAACUUGGGGACUGCAUUUCAUACUGGAAAUCUAGAGUGCGGGAGAGGAGAAUGGAAUUCCUAGUGUAGCGGUGAAAUGCGUAGAGAUUAGGAAGAACACCAGUGGCGAAGGCGAUUCUCUGGACCGUAACUGACGCUGAGGCAUGAAAGCGUGGGUAGCAAACAGGAUUAGAUACCCUGGUAGUCCACGCCGUAAACGAUGAGUACUAGGUGUAGGAGGUAUCGACCCCUUCUGUGCCGCAGUUAACACAAUAAGUACUCCGCCUGGGAAGUACGAUCGCAAGAUUAAAACUCAAAGGAAUUGACGGGGUC
rnacentral:rRNA from 1 species